CAACACAGAAUCAUUUGGUGGCAAGAGGACAUAAAACCCACUGGAGCCUCGGGGGCCCUGCGGGCCGAUAUGAGCACAAGUCUCCAGGGAUCCAAGGUGGGCAGUAAGACAGGAUGCCCGAGCUCGGUUCUGAGGCCUAAGGCAGCCCUGGUGAGACGGGAGAACCAGGAAGGGGCCUGCGCUGCCAGCGGGGUGCAGGGGGCAGAGGUGAGGAAGGCUCGAAGGUCGGCAUGUACACUCUCCCACCUCCACUGGCAAGAUGGGAGGAGACUGCUGAUGCAGCAGCUAGAGGAAUAGAAGCCAGCCUGUGAGAUAACCAAGGACAGCAACACCAGGCAAAUCAAGGCCAGAGAGACGGAGCUGAUCUGCCCACGGUCACAAAGUUCCCCAACACAGGAGGGAAACCCAGGUCAUCAGGCGUCCAGGGCGGCGCCCCCCCAACCCUCACAGCUGCAAUGGCGAGGAGCCGUCGGGCGGACUGGAGGAGGGGACAGUGUUCUACACAGACGCAGGGGCAGGACUGGACCUCCUGGACAACGUGGUGAUGAGAUCACCGUGGAGAACACAGGAUUGGAAGAAGGGAAAAAAGAGAUGUGUUACAAACAAUCUCCUCAAACCCUCUCAUCCUAACUCCUUGAAGAGAAAGGAAGUCAAGGGGCCGCCAGAAGAUGUGGCCCCACUGCUGGUACAGGAGUUUGCGAAGCUGGAUGGAGAAGAGGACAGAGAUGCAACAUCUAUACCCACCCUCCACUAUUCCAAGGACCACAGAUCCACACUCACCCUCAGGGAUGGAGCCGUCCACCCUGCCCCCAAGACCAGAAGACAACAAACAUCGCCAAAGAUUAGGAGGGCAGAUGCCCACCUUCUAAUCAAAGGUCUGAAGUUGAGAAAGGGUUAGAAAUGAAGCUACUGAGGAAAAGAA